rnacentral:misc_RNA from 1 species
UUUCCGUAGGUGAACCUGCGGAAGGAUCAUCACAGUGUUCCCUGCCCUUCGGGGUAGGAUCGCCACCCUUGAUUAUAUAUGAGUGUUGCUUUGCCGUGCCUCGCGGCCUGGCCGCGCCUCGGCUUCGGCGGGGGAGCGCCCGCCAGAGGAUUCUACAAACCUGAUUAUUAGUGUCGUCUGAGUACUAUAUAAUAGUUAAAACUUUCAACAACGGAUCUCUUGGUUCUG